GCGUUGUUCUUCUUUUGCCUGUGCAAUCAAUGCUCUCCCAAUAAAUGUGUGCAGAAGGAUCCUGUUGCAGCAUCGUUCUUCCUGGCCAGUUGAGCGCGUGCAAGAAAAAAAUCAUAAAGAUAGGUGGCCAGUACAAAUACCUAGGUAGUUUCAGGACAGUGGCAUUUAAGACAUGGUGAUAUUGCUAUAGCAUUCAUUUUGCCUAUGAGAACAAAGACACAGAUUUGGGUCACAUAUAAUAACUAGCAUGUGGCAGGGUCUCUCAGCAAGCAAGGUGGAGUAAACUGUAUGUUCUGUCUGAAGAGAAACAGCCUCUUGGCCUGUGUAAAGUUCAGUUGCUGAUAGAUCAUGUACCCAAGUAGAAGGUUUGGGAAGAAACCAAAGGGUGACAAUCACUGCACAAGUGGCUCAGGGGGUGAUGGUUUCCUGUAAGUAUUUGUACACCUGGAACCCAGAGUUUGGGACAUGUUAGACAAAGCCCUCCACCACUGAGCCUGACCCCCAGGCCCAUCCCAUUGUUUACUUUUUACUUAGGGACAGGGUCUCACUAAGUUGUCCAUGCAUACCUUAAACUAAUGGUCUUCCUGUCUCAGCCUCUCCCUGGGAUGACAGGCCUAUGCCACCAGGCCCAUUGGUAAUUCUUAAAUAGUGCACAGGAUGUGCCAAGGACCACAGGAAAUGUUUCUAAGGUCUCCACCCCAGGAUGGUGAAGAAAUUCUGUCCCUGAAGUGUCUUCAAUGGGGAAAGCAAGAACACAACACGCAGGGUGGAGCAGAGCCUGCAGUCGGGGCAAACCCCAGGAAAACACUGUCUCAGAAGGGUCCCUCACAUUAGCCAUCUUUAAAACAAGGUGCUCUGAUAGACGUGGCCCUUUUUGUAAGGAGGACAUUGAUGAGCAUGUGGUGAGGUGCUGGUCUUAUGAACGAAAAGCCUGGUGAGUUGCCAUACGGCACUCUUAGAGUGGCUAAAAUGGAGCAGAUGACAAGGCUGGAGGGAGGC
rnacentral:lncRNA from 1 species